rnacentral:rRNA from 1 species
GACAGAGGGGGCAAGCGUUGCUCGGAAUUACUGGGCGUAAAGGGCGCGUAGGCGGAAUGGCAAGUCGGUCGUGAAAUCCUUCGGCUCAACCGAAGAACGUCGAUCGAAACUGCCGUUCUUGAGGAUUGCAGAGGAGACUGGAAUUCCCGGUGUAGCGGUGAAAUGUGUAGAGAUCGGGAGGAACACCGGUGGCGAAGGCGGCCUGCUGGGCUCUUGCUGACACUGAGGCGCGACAGCGUGGGGAGCAAACAGG